rnacentral:snRNA from 1 species
UUACCAAUCCUGAUUCCAGCGCU